rnacentral:rRNA from 1 species
UACGUAGGGGGGCAAGCGUUGUCCGGAUUUAUUGGGCGUAAAGAGCGUGUAGGCGGCCCGGUAAGUCCGCUGUAAAAGUCAAAGGCUCAACCUUUUGAAUGUCAGUGGAUACUGCCGGGCUAGAGUCCGGAAGAGGCGAGUGGAACUCCUGGUGUGAGCGGUGGAAUGCGCAGAUAUCAGGAAGAACACCAACGGCGAAGGCAGCUCGCUAGGACGGUACUGACGCUGAGACGCGAAAGCGUGGGGAGCGAACAGG